UACGGAGGGAGCAAGCGUUACUCGGAAUUAUUGGGCGUAAAGGGCGCGUAGGCGAUUCGAUAAGUCUCAUGUGAAAUCCCAGGGCCUAACCCUGGAAUGGCAUGGGAUACUGUUGGAUUUGAGUUCCGGAGAGGAAGGCAGAAUUCCCGGUGUAGCGGUGAAAUGCGUAGAUAUCGGGAGGAAUACCAGUGGCGAAGGCGGCUCUCUGGACCACAACUGACGCUGAGGCGCGAAAGCGUGGGGAGCGAACCGG
rnacentral:rRNA from 1 species